rnacentral:rRNA from 1 species
GACGAACGCUGGCGGCGUGCUUAACACAUGCAAGUCGAACGGAAAGGCCCUGCUUUUGUGGGGUGCUCGAGUGGCGAACGGGUGAGUAACACGUGAGAAACCUGCCCUUGACUGUGGGAUAACUUCAGGAAACACGGGCUCAUACCGCGUAGGAUCUCCUGCUGCAUGGUGGUGGUUGGUAAGUUUCGGCGGUUGUGGAUGGACUCGCUGCUUAUCGGCUGGAUGGUGGGGUAGUGACUUACCAGGGCUUUGACGGGUAGCCGGCCUGGGAGGGGAGGCGGCGACAUUACGCCUGCGGUACGGCCCAGACGCGAAUCGGACGCAAGGGAGGAGAAUAUUACACAAGAAGCGGGAGCCAGAGAUGACAACGCCGCGUGCGGGAUGACAGGUUGCGGGUGGUGAACCGAUGUGGCCUGAGACGAGGCGAGAGUGACGGUACCGGGUAAAGAAGCACCGGCUAACUACGUG